UGCGCUGGGGGCCCACCGGCGAGCCCGGGGACGGCUGGGAGCCGUUCACCGGCUGAACGACGGGCGGGAACAGCCGUGAUCGUUCCCGCCCGCGCAGC
rnacentral:tRNA from 1 species